GCCAGCCUUCUCCUCCCUCAACACCUUGAGCUUACAAGCCUAAGACAGAAAGCAUACAAGGAAGAAUGAAGUCAACAGAAAUACCAGACACAUCAUUUUAACAGCUCAAGCCAAAACACUACCAGUGGUGCAGCACAUAGUACAUCCAGAAGAGGCAAUUUAGGGACUGUGAAUGGAGCUGCAAGGCCUCCUCCUGAUGAUCUGCAAGAGCUUCUUUCAGAGUUGAUUCAGGACAGGGGAAAAAUUCCCUUUUGUUUUCCUAUGUCCCAGAUAGUGGCACCAUCCCUGCCACCACAGGUAGCUAAAGGUUUUCUAGUUAAAUGUUUUUCUCUUUCUGAUGAGAACAUGAUAUAUGGAAGCAAAUUUGUGUUGAAAAUUUUGAAAUGCUAAAUGGAAAUGCACCAUUUUUGCUUCCUGUUCUGCCUGCCUGUCCAGCCAGCUGCCUGCUCAGCUCCCUUCUCUCUCCCUUGGCAGGUGCAGGACUUCUGUCUUGCAAAGUGCUUGUAAAAGCACCUUUUGGUUCCAAAACACUAGGAAGUGCCACAGCAAGAGUUGUCUGUUUUUGUUAAAGCAAAUGUACAGCUAUUGCCAAAGCAAAGCUAAUGAGGACUGCAGGAGCCAGGCAGAGAUUCAAACUUCUGGACUGACAUCAUCACAAUACGAAACAAGAAAAUUUAUUCAAAAAACAAAGGAAAGCAGAGGGGCAUUGCAAGAGAGGGAGAUUUUGCUAAGCGGAUUAACAUAUUAACUAAAAAUAAAGAUUGGACAUAUUUGGAAUUCUAAGAUAAUCUUGCUUUUCUGGUGACAAUAGAAAAAACUCAAGCCUCUCUCCUCUACUUUAUGUGGUGCUCCAAUUCAUUCUAGCCUGUUAAUUCAUGAGUUUAUCUGUACUGUACAUAAAAAAGAUAUGUCUAUGCCUAGAGCACAUGCUGCCACUUGGGUACAGAUGAUCUAGUGAUUGGCAUAUUUUGAUUCAUAAACCCAAUGCUGAAUACAUUACCAGAAGAUUUGUUUUGAAAUAAAAAAUUGUUCAUUUUUUAUUUAAUUACUUCAAAUGUUUUCCCCAUAUAGCAUCUCCCUUUCAUUUUGUCCAUCCAACUUUAUGAACCUGAUCAAGGAGUGGAUUUUUUAAAGCCCCCUUAUAGACUCCAUUUAGCCUGAAGUGCCAAAUCUCCCUGCCCUUGUAACAGCAGUCUUGGUGCUGUGCUUGAGUCCACAGCAGUCUGAGCAG